CUGGCGGCGUGCUUAAUACAUGCAAGUCGAACGGAGCUUAGCUGAUAGUUACUAGAGGCGAAAGCUUAGUGGCGGACGGGUGAGUAACGCGUGGGUAAUCUGCCCCUAAGUCCGGGAUAACAGAGCGAAAGUUCUGCUAAGACCGGAUACUCUUUACCAGUUGCAUAACGGGUAAAGGAAAGGUAACGCUUAGGGAUGAGCCCGCGUCCCAUUAGCUAGUUGGUGAGGUAACGGCCCACCAAGGCGACGAUGGGUAGCCGGCCUGAGAGGGUGGACGGCCACACUGGGACUGAGACACGGCCCAGACUCCUACGGGAGGCAGCAGUAGGGAAUUUUCCGCAAUGGGCGCAAAGCCUGACGGAGCAACGCCGCGUGAGGGACGAAGGUCUUCGGAUCGUAAACCUCUGUCAUCGAGGACGAUAAUGACGGUACUCGAGGAGGAAGCCCCGGCUAACUACGUGCCAGCCGCCGC
rnacentral:rRNA from 1 species